UACGUAGGGUGCGAGCGUUAAUCGGAAUUACUGGGCGUAAAGCGCACGUAGGCGGCUUUGUAAGUUAGAGGUGAAAGCCCGGGGCUCAACCCCGGAAUUGCCUUUAAGACUGCAUCGCUUUGAAUCCGGGGAGAGGUGAGUGGAAUUCCGAGUGUAGAGGUGAAAUUCGUAGAGAUCGGGAGGAACACCCGUGGCGAAGGCGGCCAUCUGGACCAGUACUGACGCUGAGGCACGAAAAGCGUGGGGGAGCAAACAGG
rnacentral:rRNA from 1 species